rnacentral:tRNA from 1 species
UCCAGGGUAGCCUAGUGGACAUGGAAUCAGCCCGGUAAACGGAAUAUUGUGGGUUAGAUUCCCAUCCCUGGAA